UACGGCAACAUCACGUUGAAACACCGGUUCCUGUACGAACACCGAAGUUAAGCAAAGUUGACUCUGGUCAGUACCUAGAUGGGUCACCGCAUAGGAAUACCAGGUUCUGUA